rnacentral:rRNA from 1 species
UUGGGAAUCUUGCGCAAUGGGGGCAACCCUGACGCAGCAACGCCGUGUGUGCGAUGAAGGCCCUCGGGUCGUAAAGCACUGUCAACAGGGAAGAUGGGUUCACCCGUUAAUAUCGGGUGGGUUUGACGGUACCUGUGGAGGAAGCACCGGCUAACUGUGUGCCAGCAGCCGUGGUAAGACAGAGGGUGGAAGCGUUGUUCGGAAUUAUUGGACGUAAAGCGCGCGUAGGCGGCGAGUUAAGUCGGAUGUGAAAGCCCGGGGCUCAACCUCGGAAGUGCAUCCGAAACUGGCUUGCUUGAAGCUUGGAGGGGGCAGUGGAAUUCCCGGUGUAGAGGUGAAAUUCGUAGAUAUCGGGAGGAACACCAGUGGCGAAGGCGACUGCCUGGACAAUGAUUGACGCUGAGGUGCGAAAGCGUGGGUAGCAAACAGGAUUAGAUACCCCCGUAGUCC